rnacentral:rRNA from 1 species
CGGACGGGUGAGUAAUGUCUGGGAAACUGCCUGAUGGAGGGGGAUAACUACUGGAAACGGUAGCUAAUACCGCAUAAUGUCGCAAGACCAAANAGGGGGACCUUCGGCCUCUUGCCAUCGGAUGUGCCCAGAUGGGAUUAGCUUGUUGGUGGGGUAACGGCUCACCAAGGCGACGAUCCCUAGCUGGUCUGAGAGGAUGACCAGCCACACUGGAACUGAGACACGGUCCAGACUCCUACGGGAGGCAGCAUG